GGCGAUGUAGCUCAGUUGGCUAGAGCAAGCGGCUCAUAACCGCUGUGUCCGGGGUUCGAUUCCCUGCAUCGCCACCA
rnacentral:tRNA from 1 species